GACGUAGGGCGCGAGCGUUGUCCGGAUUUAUUGGGCGUAAGGAGCUCGUAGGCGGCUUGUCGCGUCGUCCGUGAAAACUUGGGGCUCAACCCCAAGCUUGCGGUCGAUACGGGCAGGCUCGAGUUCGGUAGGGGAGACUGGAAUUCCUGGUGUAGCGGUGAAAUGCGCAGAUAUCAGGAGGAACACCGGUGGCGAAGGCGGGUCUCUGGGCCGAUACUGACGCUGAGGAGCGAAAGCGUGGGGAGCGAACAGG
rnacentral:rRNA from 1 species